ACCAAGGCUACGAUCCGUAGCUGGUCUGAGAGGAUGAUCAGCCACACUGGGACUGAGACACGGCCCAGACUCCUACGGGAGGCAGCAGUGGGGAAUAUUGCACAAUGGGCGAAAGCCUGAUGCAGCCAUGCCGCGUGUGUGAAGAAGGCUCUAGGGUUGUAAAGCACUUUCAGUAGGGAGGAACAGCUUAAGACUAAUACUCUUGAGCCUUGACGUUACCUACAGAAGAAGCACCGGCAAACUCCGUGCCAGCAGCCGCGGUAAUACGGAGGGUGCGAGCGUUAAUCGGAAUUACUGGGCGUAAAGCGCGCGUAGGUGGUUUGAUAAGCUAGCUGUGAAAGCCCCGGGCUCAACCUGGGAACUGCAGUUAGAACUGUCUGGCUAGAGUACAGUAGAGGGUGGCGGAAUUUCCUGUGUAGCGGUGAAAUGCGUAGAUAUAGGAAGGAACAUCAGUGGCGAA
rnacentral:rRNA from 1 species